UAGGCAGGGCCAUGUACUCUACAUCGGUGCUGUUUGGCUGCACCGCCGUUGGCACGUUGGUGGUCUUGAAGAUAGUUGUUACCCCCCGUGCGUUUCGAAUUAUCGCCACCGGUGUAGUCGUCGGCGCUGUUGGCGGAGAAAUGCUGACGUACAUGAACUACCUGCGCCACCACUCGAUCGCCGCCAAUUACCGGCCACUGGGACUUACAUCGCCGCCCCCCAACUUUGCCGUUAUGCAGCCUCUUCUCUACAAGCACCUUUCCGAAGAGUACGAAAGCCGCGGAGAGCUGGAGCUCGGAGAGGAAUCUAUCACGGUGCAACCGAAUGUGUUUGCACAGAUUGGCAUCAUCGACGUGAACGGCGUCCGCCAAAUGUGGACGAAGGCAAUUAUUCCCGCUCUCCUUGAUGGGCGGAAAAGAGAGCUCCUCGAAAGCGAGGGUGAAUCCCAAGCUGAUCUGGAGGCCAGUAUUGUGUUUUGUGAUAUUGGCAGUGGAGUCGGUAACGUUUGUUUGCAGGUACUUUCUGAGACCAAGUGUCUGAAGAGCGUUGGUGUAGAGAUCAUUCCGUCGCGAAUCCGGGCAGCUGAAGAGGCAUCGAAGCGAGCAAAGCUGCUUUACUCAGACAUUUUCUCCAAAAAGGAAGUUGUGUGGGUGCAGGGGGACCUGGUGAAGUGUGCAGCAAGGCUGAAGGAGGAGGGAGUUACCGUUCUUUUUACGCACUCAUGGAUGUUUGACGACGAUCUCAUGACGAAAUUGACGAACGUCAUCGCUCAAGUCCCUAGCAUUCAGUGUGUCGUGACUUCUCGUAAGCUCGACGAAAAGGUGCUUGCUUCCACCACGCUGCGGCAGCGGACCUUGAUGCACUUCAACGCAGAUUGGAACGACGAAGCACCCUUCUACGUUUAUGGUAAGUAAUCGCUCAGCGCUUAACUAGUACGCUCUACAUCUUUGCCUGACACUUUCAACGGCAAAGUAACAGUUUGAACCAUCCGCAUUUGGCCACAUCCAUGAAAAGCUAUGUGACGUCUGAACUAUUUUUCGCUGCGUGUCGUGAUACACUUUUUUUUUUGUUCGUCCUUAGGAAGCUCUGUUAUGCACGGAAUGCGUGUUUACUGACAAGCGCCACGCUUUGUCAAAGUACUUUUU
rnacentral:misc_RNA from 1 species